GAGAAGGCAUGCCACAGGAUGGUUGGCCUCUUUUGCAGUAAUAGGAUCUCUGGAACCUUGAGAAUGGAGCUGACUCUGUAUUUCCUACGGCAAAGUUUUGUACGUUUUAACUUCAGUUCUUGGUCAAAGCAUAGAGUAAAAAGCAACACAAACCCCUUAACUAGGGUAGCUGAAGAAUGGGCAAGAUCUUUCAAUCUCUAUGUGAAACCACCAUCAACAUUGAUUCCACAAAGGAACAAGUCCAUACAGAGCUGCUGACUCCGAAAGGAAAUUGCAUAAUGGGAAUGAAGAUAUGUUGAGUGUCAAGAUAAUUUAUUUAUAGGUGAAAUGUCAUCAUUAAAAUAGACAGGAUAUGCUUGCAUAUGCUGGCAGCCUAUACUGUCUUUCAGGGUAGGGAAAUGCAAUAUGAUUCUCCAAAUAUAUUGAUUUUCCAUCAGUAA